CAACAGGGAUUGCCUCAGUAACGGCGAGUGAAGCGGCAAAAGCUCAAAUUUGAAAUCUGGCGCCUUCGGCGUCCGAGUUGUAAUUUGGAGAGGCAUCUUCGGGUGGGCGCAGGCCUAUGUUCCUUGGAACAGGACGUCACAGAGGGUGAGAAUCCCGUGCACGGCCGGCUGUCCCCGUCCAUGUGAAGUGUCUUCGACGAGUCGAGUUGUUUGGGAAUGCAGCUCAAAAUGGGUGGUAAAUUUCAUCUAAAGCUAAAUAUUGGCGAGAGACCGAUAGCGCACAAGUAGAGUGAUCGAAAGAUGAAAAGCACUUUGAAAAGAGAGUUAAAAAGUACGUGAAAUUGUUGAAAGGGAAGCGCUUGAGACCAGACUUGACCUGGGGAUGAUCAGCAGUCCUUCUGGGCUGUGCACUCGCCUCAGCGUCGGGCCAGCAUCGGUUGGGACGGCAGGAUAAAGGUCGCGGGAAUGUGGCUCCCCUCGGGGAGUGUUAUAGCCCGUGGCGCAAUGCUGCCUGCCCCGACCGAGGACCGCGCUUCGGCUAGGAUGCUGGCGUAAU
rnacentral:rRNA from 1 species